AUCACCUGGGGAUCUUGUUAGAAUGCAGAGUCUGAUUCAGUAGAUCUGAGGUAGGGUCUGAGAUUCUGCUAUUUUUAACAAGUCCCCAGAUAUUGCAGA
rnacentral:pre_miRNA from 1 species